UAAGUAGGGCGUGAAAGCGUAUGGCUCAACCAUAUAUACAUGUCCUAAACUGCUAAGCUAGAAUAUAGAAGAGGUCGCUGGAAUUCCUUGUGUAGGAGUGAAAUCCGUAGAUAUAAGGAGGAACACCGAUGGCGUAGGCAGGCGACUGGUCUAUUAUUGACACUAAGGCACGAAAGCGUGGUAGCAAACGGGAUUAGAUACCCCGGUAGUCCGCGCCGUAAACUAUGGAUGCUA
rnacentral:rRNA from 1 species